rnacentral:tRNA from 1 species
GGAGGGUAUAGCUCAGAGGUAGAGUGCAUGCUUAGCAUGCACGAGGUCCUGGGUUCAAUCCCCAGUACCUCCA